rnacentral:rRNA from 1 species
AGCUUACCAUGCAGUCGCACGAUGAAGCCCAGCUUGCUGGGUGGAUUAGUGGCGAACGGGUGAGUAACACGUGAGUAACCUGCCCUUGACUCUGGGAUAAGCGCUGGAAACGGCGUCUAAUACCGGAUACGACCUGCCCCGGCAUCGGGUGCGGGUGGAAAGUUUUUCGGUCAAGGAUGGACUCGCGGCCUAUCAGGUAGUUGGUGAGGUAAUGGCUCACCAAGCCGACGACGGGUAGCCGGCCUGAGAGGGUGACCGGCCACACUGGGACUGAGACACGGCCCAGACUCCUACGGGAGGCAGCAGUGGGGAAUAUUGCACAAUGGGCGAAAGCCUGAUGCAGCAACGCCGCGUGGGGGAUGACGGCCUUCGGGUUGUAAACCUCUUUUAGUAGGGAAGAAGGGCUUCGGCUUGACGGUACCUGCAGAAAAAGCACCGGCUAACUACGUGCCAGCAGCCGCGGUAAUACGUAGGGUGCAAGCGUUGUCCGGAAUUAUUGGGCGUAAAGAGCUCGUAGGCGGUUUGUCGCGUCUGCUGUGAAAACCCGAGGCUCAACCUCGGGCCUGCAGUGGGUACGGGCAGACUAGAGUGCGGUAGGGGAGAAUGGAAUUCCUGGUGUAGCGGUGGAAUGCGCAGAUAUCAGGAGGAACACCGAUGGCGAAGGCAGUUCUCUGGGCCGUUACUGACGCUGAGGAGCGAAAGCGUGGGGAGCGAACAGGAUUAGAUACCCUGGUAGUCCACGCCGUAAAC